rnacentral:rRNA from 1 species
GAUGAACGCUGGCUACAGGCUUAACACAUGCAAGUCGAGGGGAAACGACGGGGAAGCUUGCUUCCCCGGGCGUCGACCGGCGCACGGGUGAGUAACGCGUAUCCAACCUGCCUCUGACUGAGGGAUAACCCGUCGAAAGUCGGCCUAAUACCUCAUGGCAUCGUCUGCGGGCAUCCAACGACGAUUAAAGAUUUCAUCGGUCAGGGAUGGGGAUGCGUCUGAUUAGCUUGUUGGCGGGGUAACGGCCCACCAAGGCUACGAUCAGUAGGGGUUCUGAGAGGAAGGUCCCCCCAAUGGGAACUGGGACCCGGCCCAAACCCCUACGGGGGGCAGCAGUGGGGAAUAUGGGUCCAGGGGGGGGGGCCUGAACCAGCCCAGUAGCGUGCAGGAUGACGGCCCUUUGGGUUUUAAACUGCUUUUAUGCGGGGAUAAAGGGGGGGACGUGCCCUUCAUUGCAGGUACCGCAUGAAUAAGGACCGGCUAAUUCCGU